GGCUGGAUCCACUCAUGAACACCAUUUACAGAUCAGCGACAGCAGUUUGAUCCAGAAGAAACCUUGAGGCUCUGCCAAUUGGCCUGAGUCUGUGGAAGUGGCAAGAAGCUUCUGGAAGACCAGCAAAGAGCGGCAGGGCGAGCCAAUGCCACUGUCAGUUCAGUUAUACUUAUACCCUUUCUAAACAUCACAUGUCCUCUCAAGUGUCCACCCCAGCAAGACACCACAUGCCCUUUCUCCAGGCAGCUUCCAGAAGAACACCACGUGUCUGUUUUCAGCAAAACGUCCUCCACGUGUCUCCCUCAGCAAAACAUUCUCUGAUAAGAAGACAGUUUCCAGAAAAACAUCACAGGACACAGCUGAAUCUCCACAGAAAUCAGAGAUUCCCACUUCUCCUGUGAUCUUCCCAGAGGUUUCACACUGUGUUGUUAACCUUCUUUACCCCAGAAAGUUAGCUAAAGAGACUGUAACUAUCCCUUCACUUCCCAACAUCAGAUGGGUAAAUAGAAGAGGAGUCCAGAGAAUCCUUAAACUGCCUCAUGGCAAAAGACAGGAUAGAAAAAAAUACUCUGUUCCACCUAACAGGCUUAUUUUCUUUUCUCUCCUUUUUUUUAUUGAAAAUGAAUUUUUCAUAACAUA
rnacentral:lncRNA from 1 species